ensembl:lncRNA
UGGCAAAGAGUCGGACACGACUGAGUGACUGAACAACAACAACAACUGCUCUGAGCAGCUGACAUCCACUAAGAAGGAACUACAUGCCAAGCAUCGUGCUAAACUCUGCAAAUAUAUCUUCUCAUUUAAUGAGAAAAUGCCAGUGAGCUAGGUGCCUUAGUAACCUUUUCACAGAGGGAAACCAAGCUUUAGUGAGGCUGUUAUCCAUCCAUACAGUUAUUAAAUAAAGAAGACAGAUGUCAAUCCUUGACUCUGACUCCAGAGUCCUAUUCUAACCUAUUACUAUCCAACAUAAAAUAAUGUGAGCCAUAUAUACCAUUUUAAAUUUGCUAGGAGCUAUAUAUAUUUAUUUUAAAGUUAAAAAGAAGCAGGAGAAAUUAAUUUCAAUAAUAUAUUUUCUUUAAUCCAAUUUAUCCAAAAUAUUAUCAUUUCAACAUAGUCAGUAUAGAAGUUCUUAAUGAGAUAUUUUGUAAUCUUUUGCUUUUUUCAUACCGAGGCUGUGACAUUCAGUUUAUAUUUUGCACUUGCAGCCCAUCUUAAUUUGGAGCAGCCGUAUUGCAAGUGCUCGGCGGCCACAUAUGGUCCAUGACCACUGCACUGAGCCGUGUGCCCUCACCCGCGGGCCAUCAUGCCUGAGUCUUUGAAGACCGUGUCAUCCGGGUUUACCGGACUGUAUUUAUUGAGGAAGAAGAUUUUCCUUUUUUCAACAAAGGCGAUGCCACCAUAUGGAUCGAAUUCCGUCUUCAAAUGGAAAGAGAUAUUUUCAAACAUCCUUGAAUUGAGCAUGCAGAAUGAGGGCGGCAUGAUGCUUACAUACCCACUAAUCUCUGUUAUGACAUGUCUGCAUGACGGAGAGGAUCAUACUCCUGGGUUGAGGAAAGGAGGGCUGUCCACAGAUGACACAAUCAAGAGAUGCAGUGGCCCACAGAGAAUGCAAACGGACAAAAAGACUCACCAUGCCAGCUGCCUUUUAAAAGAAAAUGCCAAUUAA